UUCAUUGUUGUCGAUGAUGUAUUUUGGAACUGAGAGAAAAAUGAUUGAUUGCACAGUUCGUCACUACCACUGAGACAACAGUGAG